rnacentral:rRNA from 1 species
CACGUUGGCGGCGGGCUACCAUGCAAGUCGAGCGGUAGCACAGAGAGCUUGCUCUCGGGUGACGAGCGGCGGACGGGUGAGUAAUGUCUGGGAAACUGCCUGAUGGAGGGGGAUAACUACUGGAAACGGUAGCUAAUACCGCAUAACGUCGCAAGACCAAAGAGGGGGACCUUCGGGCCUCUUGCCAUCAGAUGUGCCCAGAUGGGAUUAGCUAGUAGGUGGGGUAACGGCUCACCUAGGCGACGAUCCCUAGCUGGUCUGAGAGGAUGACCAGCCACACUGGAACUGAGACACGGUCCAGACUCCUACGGGAGGCAGCAGUGGGGAAUAUUGCACAAUGGGCGCAAGCCUGAUGCAGCCAUGCCGCGUGUAUGAAGAAGGCCUUCGGGUUGUAAAGUACUUUCAGCGGGGAGGAAGGUGUUGAGGUUAAUAACCUCAGCAAUUGACGUUACCCGCAGAAGAAGCACCGGCUAACUCCGUGCCAGCAGCCGCGGUAAUACGGAGGGUGCAAGCGUUAAUCGGAAUUACUGGGCGUAAAGCGCACGCAGGCGGUCUGUCAAGUCGGAUGUGAAAUCCCCGGGCUCAACCUGGGAACUGCAUUCGAAACUGGCAGGCUAGAGUCUUGUAGAGGGGGGUAGAAUUCCAGGUGUAGCGGUGAAAUGCGUAGAGAUCUGGAGGAAUACCGGUGGCGAAGGCGGCCCCCUGGACAAAGACUGACGCUCAGGUGCGAAAGCGUGGGGAGCAAACAGGAUUAGAUACCCUGGUAGUCCACGCCGUACACGAUGUCGAUUUGGAGGUUGUUCCCUUGAGGAGUGGCUUCCGGAGCUAACGCGUUAAAUCGACCGCCUGGGGAGUACGGCCGCAAGGUUAAAACUCAAAUGAAUUGACGGGGGCCCGCACAAGCGGUGGAGCAUGUGGUUUAAUUCGAUGCAACGCGAAGAACCUUACCUACUCUUGACAUCCAGAGAACUUAGCAGAGAUGCAUUGGUGCCUUCGGGAACUCUGAGACAGUGCUGCAUGGCUGUCGUCAGCUCGUGUUGUGAAAUGUUGGGUUAAGUCCCGCAACGAGCGCAACCUUAUCCUUUGUGCCAGCGGUCCGGCCGGGAACUCAAAGGAGACUGCCAGUGAAUAACUGGAGGAAAGGGUGGGGAAUGGAG